rnacentral:lncRNA from 1 species
CAGAGAGCUCGCUAGUCCCUUUCACCAUGUGAAGAUGUGGCAAGAAGGCACCAUCUCUAAGCCAGAAAAUGGACUCUCACUGGGCACUUUGAUCUUGAACUUCCCGGCCUCUGGAACAUCUUCUCAGGUCAAAGCUUCCAUCUCUCCCUGUUUCAUGAACUUAACUUCUGAGGAGUACUGGUCAGGUGUUCUGUAGGAUGUCCACCUGCUGUUGGUCUGAUGCUUUUCACAUGAGGAUUCUGGGGUGAUGCUUCCCAAGAAGAAGACCUGAGGUGAAGCAUCUUUCUCGUCUCCCAGCCUCCUGCCUCCCAAAUGGUAUUGACCUUGAUCACUCAGCUAAGGUGGCAGCUGCCAGAUUGCUCCAUUGUAGAGCUAUAAUUUUCAUCCUUUUCUUAUUUUUAGGGAGGUGGGGAGGAGAGAAAAGGAAUAUUAAGCUCCACCUCCUGGAUGGGGUUGUAUUGACUUAUGUUAUUUGGGUUUCUUCUGUAAGGAAGAUUUGUCUCUUUCCCCCCUUAAUUCCUUUGGUAAAAAUAAUUUCUCAACAUCUGCUAAAUAGCUUUCUCCAAGAUGGAUGAAGACAUGCUCCAUCAAUUGGUACUUGCCUCAAAGUCGAGUUUUAUUCAAGUUAAACUGAAGUCACUGCAAAUUCAAGCAAGAUCCCAAUAUCGACUAAGUUCCUUCUCAGAAGUCCUCCCCCAGGGUCAGGCAGAGGGGGAACUGGGUGGUGUUUCAGAUGUGGCUUUUCAAGCUGUGGCCAGAUUGGCAGCAUCAGCAUCACCUGGUAGGUUACAAAUGCAGCAACUCAGGCCCCACUUGGACCUCCUGAGUCAGACUCUGCAUUUUAACAUGACUGUGACUUGUGUGCAUGUCUAUAGUUUGACAAGUGCUGUCUUAGAACCCUAGAGCCUCUGGGAACAGAGACAAGAAGGCGAUCUUCUCCAAGCAGGGUGAUCUCUGUUGCCAGCGUACCUGCCUUGGUUCACCCCUCCUGCAUUUGUCCAGGUGGAAGAUGAUUAGGAAGGGCAGAGGAGAGGCAGGAACAGCAGAUGGCUCUGAGACGAGCCUGGGGCUGGAGGGUUGAGUGAGGUGGGCAAAGAAGGGGAGAGUGCUGGCAUAGCUGAUGGAUGACUGUGGUACCUGAGAUGGCCCUGGGGAGUUGGAUGAGAGCAGGGCCAGAGUGAUUGAUGGGCUGGGGUGGAGAGGCUGUGGAACAGCUGUAAAGAAAAAAAGGCUCUGGGUUUGGGAGUCUGCUAUGGGUGGCAGCAAAACCCAAGAGCCAUGAGAGAGAAAGUCCUCUUUCUGCAGCAGUGCUCACAAAGUCGAGUCUUGCUCUGUUGCCUAGGCUGGAGUGCAGUGGCAUGAUCUCAGCUCACUGCAACCUCCACCUCCCAGGUUCUAAGUAAUUCUCCUUCCUCAGGCUCCCUAGUAGCUGGGAUUAUGGGCACAUGCCACCACACCUGGCUAAUUUUUGUAUUUUUAGUAGAGACAGGGUUUCACCAUAUUGGCCAAAGCUGGUCUCAAACUCUUGACUUCAAAUGAUCCACCUGCCUUGGCCUCCCAAAGUGCUGGGAUUAUAGGCAUAAGCCACUGUGCCCAGCCUCGAUUCUCUUUAGAAGGUAUUCUUUUAUGGCAUCAAGUACAUUCACAUGUUUAUACAACCAUCACCAUCCAACUCCAAAACCAUUUUCAUCUUGCAAAACUGAAAUUCUGUACCCAUUAAGUACUAACUCCCCGUUCUCCCUCCCCCCUCAUCCCUGGAAACCACCAUUCUUUCUCUGAACUUGGCUACUCUAGGUGCCUCAUGAGUGGAAUUAUACAGUCUCCAGCCUUCCGUGAUCUUUCCAGCUUCAUAACUGCCUUCUGACAUGGAUGAAGCAGGAAAUGUUACUGCCUCAGGGAGAUGAGGGGAGGGAGGGAGGGUUAUGGGGGAAGUGACUUGCCCUGGGUCUCACAUCUAGUGAGUAUAUAGCACACUCAAUAGAUUCAGGAAGCCCAGAGUCCUUCCUGGGUCUGCUGCUGUGUUAGGUCAUUCUUGCAUUGCUAUAAAGAAAUAUCUGAUACGGCUGACUCUCUUUUCAGACUCAGCCCGCCUGCACCCAGGUGAAAUAAACAGCCUUGUUGCUCACACAAAGCCUGUUUGGUGGUCUCUUCACACGGACGUGAGUGAAAUUUGGUGCCGUGACUCAGAUCAGGGGACCUCCCUUGGGAGAUCAAUCCCCUGUCCUCCUGCUCUUUGCUCCAUGAGAAAGAUCCACCUACAACCUCAGGUCCUCAGACCGACCAGCCCAAGGAACAUCUCACCAAUUUCAAAUCUGGACCCCACUGAAAAUUGGACUGUUCAACUCACCCAGCAGCCACUUCCAGAGCCCCUGGAACUCUGGCCCAAGGCUCUCUGACUGACUCCUUACCAGAUCUUCUUGGCUUAGCGGCUGAAGACUGAUGCUGCCCGAUCACCUCGGAAGUCCCCUAGACCAUCAUGGAUGCCGAUCUUCAGACAGGAAUGUCAGGCCUCUGAGCCCAAGCUAAGCCAUCAUAUCCCCUGUGACCUGCACGUACACAUCCAAAUGGCUGGUUCCUGCCUUAACUGAUGACAUUCCACCACAAAAGAAGUGAAAAUGGCCUGUUCCUGCCUUAACUGAUGACAUUAUCUUGUGAAAUUCCUUCUCCUGGCUCAUCCUGGCUCAAAAGCUCCCCUACUGAGCACCUUGUGACCCCCACUCCUGCCAGCCAGAGAACAAACCCCUUUGACUAUAAUUUUCCUUUACCUACCCAAAUCCUAUAAAACGGCCCCACCUCUAUCUCCCUUUGCUGACUCUCUUUUCAGACUCAGCCCACCUGCACCCAGGUGAAAUAAACAGCUUUGUUGCUCAAAAAAAAAAAAAAAAAAAAAAAAAAAAGAGAAAUAUCUGAUACUGGGUAAUCGAUAAGGAAAGGGUUUAAUUGGCUCACAGUUCUACAGGCUGUACAGGAAACGUAAUAGCUUCGGCUUCUGUAGAGGCCUCAGGAAGCUUCCAAUCAUGGCAGAAGGCAAAGGGGGUAGCAGGCAUCUUACAUGGCAGGAGCAGGAGCAAGGGAGGGUGCUACAUACUUUUAAACAACCAGAUCAAGAACUCACCAUCACAAGAACAGCACCAAGGGGAAAUCCACCCCCGUAAUUCAAUCACCUCCCAUCAGGCCCCACCUCCAACACAGGAUUACAAUUGAACAUGAGAUUUGGGAGGGUCACAGAUACAAACCAUAUCAGCUGUGGAACAUUCUGUUCCACCUACCCUCAACCCCCUUUUCCUCGGUGGUGUGUUGAAAAGAGGGCUUGGGCUGGAAACAAAAGGAAUGGGAUUUAAGGGCUCACAUAGGUGGUGGAGGGGACCAUCUCUGAGAUUAAGAUCCAGACAGGGGAAUGAAAGAUUAAAACUUUGAAAUAUCCCUAGCACCUGCCUUGGGACCUAUAAUAAAAAGAUGCUUGGUCA